UGUUAAAUCGUUCUUAAAUUUUCUGAUACGUUAGAUAUGAAUGAUUGUCUUCCAGCCUGGUUUUGAUACAACUUUCUCUCUUGCAGAUGCGAAUUUCGCCUCUUAGUGUCAUUCAUUCAAAAGGUUCUCACAAUUGUAUAAGCACGUGGCAUAGUAGCAACUACAAAAAAAGGCCACCAGAAGGGGCACCAGAUAAUUAUAAUUCUUGUUCUAGUGUAUGCAUGAUACAGACUCUCCAUGGCAUAUACAUCAGAACAAUCUCAUAUAAAUCAAGGAAAAGAAAAUAAGCUGACAAAAGGAAUUGAAAAAACAGAUCGGAUACGGAGUAUCAUUGACGAUGGAAGAAAUGGCAAAGAAAACUACACUUGUUUAUUGGAGAAAUAAAAGAAAAAGGCUGGAUUAUACUUGUCCGUGAUUUACNNNNNNNNNNNNNNNNNNNNNNNNNNNNNNNNNNNNNNNNNNNNNNNNNNNNNNNNNNNNNNNNNNNNNNNNNNNNNNNNNNNNNNNNNNNNNNNNNNNNGGUUUCCGGAAUGGUCCGGAAACGAAGAUUGAUAUAUAGCAUGACCUCAUUUGAUUACCGGAAGGUUUUCGGAGUUACCGGGAAUGUGCCGGGAAUGACGAAUGGGUUCCGGGAGUUCACCGGGGGGGGCAACCCACCCCGGGGAAGCCCAUAGGCUUUGGGGAGACACACCAGCCAUUAAUGGGCUGGUGGGACAGCCCCAAGGGGGCCUAUGCGCCAAGAAAAGGAAAUCAAAGGAAAAGAAAAAAAANNNNNNNNNNNNNNNNNNNNNNNNNNNNNNNNNNNNNNNNNNNNNNNNNNNNNNNNNNNNNNNNNNNNNNNNNNNNNNNNNNNNNNNNNNNNNNNNNNNNNNNNNNNNNNNNNNNNNNNNNNNNNNNNNNNNNNNNNNNNNNNNNNNNNNNNNNNNNNNNNNNNNNNNNNNNNNNNNNNNNNNNNNNNNNNNNNNNNNNNNNNNNNNNNNNNNNNNNNNNNNNNNNNNNNNNNNNNNNNNNNNNNNNNNNNNNNNNNNNNNNNNNNNNNNNNNNNNNNNNNNNNNNNNAGGGCAGAUUUGAGACGAUUUUAUCACGGUUGCCCGACCACAUACCUCCAUAGUUUUUCCUCUAGAUCGCGUUUCUGCGGAGCUCGGGCGGAGCCCUUCUGAGACGAGAUCAUAACCAACCUCCGGAGCGCCGUCACACUGCCGGAGAACUCUUCUACCUCUCCGUCUCUCUUGCUGGAUCAAGAAGGCCGAGAUCAUCGUCGAGCUGUACGUGUGCUGAACGCGGAGGUGCCAUCCGUUCGGUACUAGAUCGUGUGACUGAUCGCGGGAUUGUUCGCGGGGCGGAUCGAGGGACGUGAGGACGUUCCACUACAUCAACCGCGUUCUCUAACGCUUCUGCUAUUCGAUCUACAAGGGUACGUAGAUCACUCAUCCCCUCUCGUAGAUGGACAUAACCAUGAUAGGUCUUCGUGCGCGUAGGAAAGUUUUGUUUCCCAUGCGACGUUCCCCAACAUAUGCGCCAUAGGAAGAAAAAUCAAAGAGAAAAGAAAAAAAAAGUGGUGGUGGGAAAAGGGGGAAGGACUCCUCCUUCCAAACCUAGUUGGACUCGGUUUGGAAUGGGAGGGUUCCCCCCUUAGGUUCGGCCGACCCCCUUGGGAUUCCUUGGACCCCAAGGCAAGGCUCCCCCCUCCUCCCCCUAUAUAUACGGAGGUUUUAGGGCUGAUUUGACACGACUUUGCCACGGCAGCCCGACCACAUAUCUCCAUGGUUUUAACUCUAGAUCGCGUUUCUGCGGAGCUCGGGCGGAGCCCUGCUGAGACAAGAUCAUCACCAACCUCUGGAGCGCCGUCACGCUGCCGGAGAACUCUUCUACCUCUCCGUCUCUCUUGCUGGAUCAAGAAGGCCAAGAUCAUUGUCGAGCUGUACGUGUGCUGAACGCGGAGGUGCCGUCCGUUCGGCACUAGAUCGUGGGACUGAUCGCGGGACGGUUCGCGGGGCGGAUCAAGGGAUGUGAGGAUGUUCCACUACAUCAACCGCGUUCACUAACGCUUCUGCUGUACGGUCUACAAGGGUACGUAGAUCAACCAUCCCCUCUCGUAAAUGGACAUCACCAUGAUAGGUCUUCGUGCGCGUAGGAAAUUUUUUGUUUCCCAUGCAAUGUUCCCCAACACCAGGCAACCCGACAAUGACAUUGAUGUGUACGUCAGGCCAUUAGUUGAUGAACUUUUAUGGCUAUGGAAUGGAAAUGGUGUACAUGUGUGGGAUGAGAACGAACAGGAGGAAUUUGACCUACAUGCAUUGUUGUUCGUAACCAUCACCGAUUGGCCUGCUCUCAGAAACCUUUCAGGACAGACAAACAAGGGAUACAACGCAUGCACACACUGUUUAGAUGACACUAAUAGUACAUAUUUGGACAAAUGCAGGAAGAAUGUGUACAUGGGGCAUCGUCGAGUUCUUCCGACCAACCAUCAAUGUCGAAAGAAAGUAAAGCAUUUCAAAGGUGAGGCAGAUCAAGGGUCUUGGGGGACUAUCUGUUCCAAAUGACGAUGCAGGACACGCACCCAUGUGGAAGAAGAAAUCUAUAUUUUUGGACCUACCCUAUUGGAAAUACCUAGAGGUCUGCUCUGCAAUCGACGUGAUGCACGUGACGAAGAAUCUUUGCGUGAACCUUCUAGGCUUCUUGGGAGUGUAUGGGAAGACAAAAGAUGCACCGGCGGCGCGGGAGGAACAUCAACGUGUGCAUGAAAAAGAUGGCAUGCAUCCGGAGCAGUAUGAAGGUCCUGCCAGCUACGCUCUUACCAAAGAAAAGAAGGAAAUCUUCUUUGAAUGUCUGCUCAGUAUGAAGGUCCCGUAUGGCUUCUCCUCGAAUAUAAAGGGAAUAAUAAAUAUGGCAAUGAAAAAGUUCCAGACACUAUAAGAAAAAUGCUCAAUUAUGACCAAAAAUAAUGACGGCGGUUUAAUUGGUCAUUGAUCCAUGACCAAAAUUCCAAAAUUAGUCAUGGCAAGUCUAAGAGGGACCAAAGCCCAUAAUGUUAUGACCUUUUGUGUCCAUUAGGUCAUGAUACUAUUGCACAAAUUGGUCAUUAAGUGCCACCGAUUGAAAAAAAGGGAAAAUGUGAUAGAGGUGUGUUGGAUGAGGGGAGGGUUUUGAAGCGUUGGAUGUAGGAGGAGUGGAUGGCCACGAUCUCUUUCAAGGGAGUGAUCUGUGGCCUCGCAUGUGAUAGGCUGGCUGCCUAAACUGAAAAGAAACGAGAAAAAAAAGUGAAAGACAAUCUCUCUCUUGGCGAUCCCCAUCAUGCCAAGGACGACCGACGGUACGACAAAUCUCCAAAAAGGCGAGAAACAUUACAACACACUAGACAUCUGAAGCUCCAUACUAAAUUAAUUUCAACAUUUUUAUUUAGUUUCGUACUAUAUUUAUAUUAAACUUGGUUUCUAGAGCAAGGCCUAAGUUGGUUCGGGAACGUCAAUUACUUUAAUGGUUUUACUUAUCUAGAGCAAGGCAUGAUCGGCGUGACAUGGUGUCUCUAUCGUCGGAUCUAGAAGAGAUGGAUGACUAUGAUCGAUCAGAUGGGGCCAAUCUGUGGGAACAAUGCAUCGACCAAAGAAAGUAAAUAAUAAUAAAAAUAAAUAAAUAAAUAAGUGAGGUAAAGCCUUUUUUGGAUAAAGUGAGUUAAAGUUAGGCUCAUGCAUCGUCGAGAGGUUUGGAUCAGCCUGCGAACGAUUUCGUUUGGUUUUCAGUUUCACAGCGCGCGAAUAAUAAAUAAAGAAGACCAUCUUUAAAAAAAUAAAAAAUAAACAAAGGGGACCACUUCUCGCCGCACCAAUCCCACUGACCCACCAAUCCUUUCUCUUUCUCGUCUCUCCCUCUCCCCAAACCACUUCUCGCCGCAGCCGCCGCCACCCCCUACGGUGCCCGAUCCCGCCCGAUUCCAGCAUCCUCUGGCGGCGCCCAGCACACCACCGUGUCCCCCUCUCAAUGCUCCUUCCUCCCAUCGGGUAAGAUCCGACGCGCGUGUCCUCCAGUGGCCAAUCGUGACCCUGCCCACCAGCUAGGGUUUGUGCUAGCACGUCGCCGGCGUGGCUUCGGCCUUGCUCCGGCGACUCAAGUGAGUCCUCCACUCCUCCUCGUCACAUACCCCAUCUCUUCCUCACAUCAUUUCGUCUCCCUUGCAGAUCGAGCGUACCGUCGCCGCUCGAGCAACGGGGGGCCAUGGAUGGGAAGGCUUCUCCUCCCUUGUCCCGAUGUCGUGAAUGACACAUCUCCUCCACUAUCCCAUGGAGACGGAGCUCCUUCUCCCACAUCACGCAUGGAGCCUCCCUCCCAGUGCCUGAAGCUCUAGUGGGUAUGAAUCCCCCCUGCUGUCUUUCUACUACAACUUCUCUUCUUCUCCUCUUGAUGUGUGCGUGUACUGUGCCAGGUAAAGGAAUUCAAGGCCAUGGGCGGAGAGAGAGGAGCUGCUCCUAGUACAGGACGCAAUGGAAGGUGGUCCUUUCUUGUUCUGUCUUUUUAAGUUUUCUAUUUCUCUUCCCGAUCGAUAAAUGUUAAAGGCUCUAUUUUGUGCAGGUGUUGCCCUGAUGAGGAGAAACUAUUGUUGCAGGAAACCAUUGAUGAUUGCUCCAAUUGGUGGAUUCGGUUCACCAAAUAUGAACCUAUUUCUGCAUACCAAUAUUUCAUGUUCUUUUGCAGAUCCCUAGUUCCUUCAUCCAGUUUCCAAUCCAUGCAUCUCUCAAAAAGGAAUUUCCCGACCCGUGUAGAUUAUUGUUUUAUGAGUUCUACUACAAUGGAAGUUUUAUGCUAUUUGGCUAUGCUCCAGUUACUAGGAAACUUCUAGGAACUGCACAUGAAUUAAUACAAACCUGUACAGAUAAUGAACAUAAACUUUUAGAUUGCUGCUACUUAUUCUAAGUGUAAAGGAUGUCCGGUCAACUUGGUAUUUUUAACAAAAACAGUUCAUCAACAAGCUAUAUUAGAUAUCAAUCCAAAUUAAAAUGAUUUAACAGAUAGACAAUUUAAUAAAAUCUGCUUGCCUGCUAUUUAUAUACAUAACUAUUCCACAAUGGCAAUACUUCAUUGUGUGUAUGAACAUGCACAUAUUAUAAGUGUAGUUGGAGAAAAUAGUUGAUCGUUGCUCUGUUUCUACAACUCUGCCCGUGAUGGAGCAUAUGCGUGCAUCUAUGUUUUUUUUAAAUAAAAUAAGAGAAGAUACAACAGUGGGCUUGAGGCCAAGCUGGUGGCGUAGAAGUCCUUGUAUCUCUUGUCCUUAUACGCUGCUGGUGUGUAAACAUAGCAUGAAAAAACUGCAUUACAAUUUUAGGAAUUUAAGAACAAAGGAAAUUAAACUUAGAAAAAAAAUGACUGGUACUUCCUAUGAACCAAGGCAAUGACUGGUACUUCCUAUGAACCAAGGCAAUGACUUCUGGUGGCAUAUUGCCUCCUUCGAGAUCAUAUAGCACCAGUCAUUUUCAGUUGACACUAUUUCAAUUGCCUGCAUUUUCAUCACAUGCAAUUCAUCGUCUAUUUUUAAUUGACACUAUUUCAGUCCCUUGGUGCUGGAUGAACAACUAUUUUCAUGUGUGAACCAGUUGCAUCUUGAUGGAAUGUAAACAUGAUUAUUGCAAGUACAUCAUUUUUUACCUCUCUAAAAUUGCUGGCACUUCUGGGGCUUUAACAUCAAUUUAUGUGAACUCCGGAUCUUGUACUAUUUUUUAGGAGAUUUGGAUGGUAAUUUGGAUAUCUAUAAUUUUACUUGGAACAAGGUGAGUUUGGUCCAGGCAUGGCCUGGUUCUAUGUCUUUUAUUGUCAACUCUCAAAUUUAUUUUGGUAUAUGAAAUCAAAUAUCGAUAUGCUACAUAUUUAGUCCACUUAAAAACUACAUUCGUAUGACUUUGUUUUUUAUUUUAUUUUUCGUUAUUAAAGUAGAUUUGUGGUUCGGAAGUUUGGAGCUAUUUUAUAUGAUGUAUCUAUUAGAACAUUAGAUGUUGAUUUCGGCAUUAGACACUUAGGAUCAAACUUGCCCAGGCUCCAGAAAAUUUCUCGCUCCGCCACUGAUCUCUAUUUAAAUAGAUAGUGUUAACCAUCUUCCUGUAGAGUAUGAAUAUCCAUUAUCUUUGUCGCGUAAGUGUCCUGCAAAUAUUAUAUUUUUCCUCUCUGACAUGAUUGAAUACUCACAGGAUGUCGCUGUUACGUGUUCCUUUAUAACAUCCUUUUUGUCUUCUAACUUUUAGAGGCUACUCCUUUACCAUAACUUUGGCCUAUCUCUAUUAUCUUUUUAUCCACUCCCAUUUACCUUUUUAGAACAAAAUGGUUGGGUGGCAGCAUGAUCUUCGGAUAAACAAUAAAUAACACUAAAUCACUUAGCAAAAAUAAACAAUAAAUACAAAUUACUUUUUUAUUCUAGUUUGCUUUAAGUCGUGUUUCUGUGAACAAAAAAAAUAACUUAAAAAAGAAGGUAGCCGGGUCAGGCAACAACUAGUUGAAGGCUGAAAGAUUGCAUGUAAUAUUCACAUUAUUUUUUCCCUUUGAUAUUAUUUUGUGUACGUUUUGUUCAUUUUGGAUUUGUCUUCUAUCUUGUGUGCAGGUUGCUGCUUGCUUGGGGGGAGAUAAGCAUGGCCUGGAGAUAAGGAAUCAAGGCGACAAGGACAGAGAGCGGGAGAGGAGCAUAGCCAGAUCCAACAUGCUUGGAUAAUUUCUUCUACAUUACUCCAACAAAUUCAGGACCGGCCCAGGUUGCUACUGUAGUUAAGUCAAAUGAAAUAUUAGUAUUAUGCAUCUAUAUAAGUUAGGACCGGCCCUGGGUGCGACCUCCAAGCAGUCCAAUGAUGGUAUGUGAUGCAACUUGCUGUCGUUGUUUUGAUGAAACUUGUCAGGUUCCCAUAUUUCUUACCAUGCUUAUCACAUCAGCCUUUGCUGCCGUUGUUCUUAUAAGCUGCAUAUGGAUGCCGGGAUGUGAUAUUUCAAUGGUUUUAGCUUCCUUGCUUAUGUUAUGUUUCCGCCACUUCAUGAGGCCUGUAAGAAGCCUUAUAUUUUCAGCCUGAACAGAAAUGUUCUAUAUUUAUAAAUAUGUCUUGUUGUACCUUCUUCACAUACUUAUCUGGGAAAUCUUAGAACCAAGUCAGCGACUAUUUUAUGUUCUUUUCUGGCAGUAACUAGUGGCUAGAGUAAAAUGUACAUUGAAUCUGACAUGAAACUGUAGAAAAGACGAUGUUGUUUGUAGUUAAUGUUAAUUUUUUUUCCUGUUUGUUGUAAUAUAUCUGGAAACUAUUUCAGGAAACAUUACACAAGCAUAAAGCCAGUGAAAAUGGCAAUCAAAGUGUUGAAGCUUUGGAGGACCAUCUGAUUGAUACGCAAGAAAAGGUCAAACAAUUUGGCAGUGCAGAUACCAAGAAGAGCUUAUUUAGGAAUUGGCCAUUGAUGUCUUCCAUAAAUGAUGUGCCCUUGUUAGGCGUUGUACCUUAAUGUGUGGAGUCGGUGGAUGAUGUAUUGUAUUUAUGUGAUAUGCUAUUGAAAUAAAAAAUACAUUUUAUUUGCAAUCUUUUAUUCUGUUGUACUUAUUUUUAAUGGUCCUAUCCUGAGAUAUGCGUGCUUCUAACAAAAAAAUGCUUCAACCCAAACAAAUUAGACAUUUUCAAUAGUAAAAUAGGUAUUGGGCCAGAAUAUAAAAUUUAUGAUGAUUCCAUUUGGUCACUAGCAAUGCCACGUCAGCUUGGCCACGUCAGAUCCUACGUGGCUCACACAAAUUGGUAAUGACCAAACCAAAAUUUUGGCCGGUAGAGACCUACGACCAAAAUUUUGGAAAGGUCAUGUUUUUUCAUUCUUGACGGCCAACUGUUGACGUUGUAAAUCUGGUCAAAAAAAGGUCAAUAAACGACAUCAAUGAUGAAUCAAUGACCAAUAUAGGGAGUCAUAACUGACCUUAUUUCUUGUAGUGAGAACCUAAAUUCUCAUGACUGCCACGUGAUUAUGACACAACUGCUUCCGGUUGCAUUGAGGGGGGCUUCUACCGAAAAACGUUUGAUUAGCCAUUGUGAAGCUAUGUGCAUUCCUCAAUGCAAUCUCUCAGAACGUGAUCGAUCCUGUAAUCCUGCCAAGGUUACUGAGUGAUUUGGUGUAAUGUCUUGUUAGUUUCGAGCUGGUGUUCCCACUAUCCUUCUUCAAUAUCAUGACACACGUCUUAGUUCAUCUAGUCGACGAGAUUCUCGUUCUGGGCCGUGUAUUUCUACACAAUAUGUUCCCCUUUGAGAGGUUCAUGGGAGUCUUAAAGAAAUAUGUUCGCAACCAUGCUAAGCCAGAAGCAAGCAUUUCCAUGGGCCAUCAAACAGAGGAUGUCAUUGGGUUUUGUGUUGACUUCAUUCCUGACAUUAAGAAGAUUGGUCUCCCUCAAUCGCGAUAUGAGGGGAGACUGAAUGGAAAAGGCACACUAGGAGCAGACUCAAUAAUAAAUAAGGACGGGCAUUCUUGGUCUCAAGCACACUACACAGUUCUACAGAAUUCUACCUUGGUGACCCCGUAUGUCGAUGAACACAAGAAUAUUCUAAGCUCCAUACACCCGGAGUAGUGUGAUGACUGGAUUACAUUUGAACACAUCAGGUCUUUCGGCAGUUGGUUGCAAAAAGUCUCAUGUGUGACAACACUGUUUCUGAUGAGCUAUACUCGUUGGCCAGGGGACCAUCUGCGACUAUAUUGACUUACCAAGGGUACGAGAUAAAUGGGAAUACAUUUUACACGCUCACUCAAGAUCAAAAGAGCACCCACCAAAACAGCGGUGUCCGCUUUGAUGCAGCAACCAAGAGGGGAAAGGACACAUAUUAUGGUUACAUAGUGGACAUAUGGGAACUUGACUAUGGAUAUGAUUUGAAGGUCCCUUUGUUUCAUUGCAAAGGGGUCAAUCUGUCAGGAGGUGGGGUACAGAUAGACCCACAGUACGGAAUGACAACAGUUGAUCUAAACAGUACAGAUAGACCCACAGUACGGAAUGACCCACAUAGAAAACAUGCUAUGUGGGUGGAAUGAUGGUACCAUGCCAACUUUCAACCUUUUCAGAGUUCAUUUGUAGUGCUUUUCAAUUUAAGGGUCAUUUAGCUCAAAACAAUCGGUAAAUGCAUGAAAAAUACCAAAUGAAGUCAGAAAUAAUUGAAAAUUGAUGAUGUGUCUUUGAAUGGUGCAUUUUGAACACACAAAAAGUCUGGAGUUCAAAUAAGUCAAAAAAUUAAAUUCAUUUGUAACACAUAAUUUUCAUAUGAAAGCGUCAUACUUCGAAAGAGAUUGUCCGUUCUGUACACGAAGUGCAUCCAGUUUUUUUCGCAACCCUCUCAACAUUUUAGCACAUGAUAUGUGGAUGAAAUGAUGAUACCAUGCCAACUUUCAGCAUUUUCACAGUUCAUUUGUAGUGCUUUUGAAUUUAAGGGUGAUUUAGCUCAAAAUAAUCAGUAAAUGCAUGAAAAAUACGAAAUGAAGUGAGAAAUAGUUGAAAAUUGAUGAUGCCACUUUUAAUGGUGCAUUUUGAACACACAAAAAUUCUCGAGUUCAAAUAAGUUCAAAAAAAUGAAAUCCCUUUGUAACAGAUGAGUUUUCGUAUGAAACCCUAAUACUUCGAAAGAGAUUGUAUAUUUUGUACAUGAUGUGCAUCCAGUUUUUGCCACAACCCUCUCAACUUUUUAACACAUGCUAUGUGCGUGAAAUGAUUAUACCAUGCGAGCUUUCAACAUUUUCAGAGUUCAUUUGUAGUGCUUUUCAAUUUAAGGGUCAUUUGGCUAAAAAAACCUAGUAAUUGUAUGAAAAAUAUCUAAUGGGCCGAUGGGCCUUUGUCCCGAUUCUAGCCACCAACCGGUAUAAAGUACUAUUCUUCCCGCCCUUUUGGGCCAGUGGAAGUGUGGCUUUGAUCCCGGUUGAUGCCACCAUCCGAAACCAAAGAUUUCACAUAUAGUGCGGGAGUUGUUGAAAUUGACCUUUAGUCCCGGUUGGUGUAACCACCUAGGACUAAAGGUAUGCUUUGGUCCCGAGUUGAGCCACCAACUGGAACAAAGGUGUUCAUAUAUUGCGGGAGUUGUCGAAAUUUUCACGAACUUCGACGAGCCCGUCGUCGUCGCCGUCGCACCCGAGCCCGUCGCCGCCGGCCUGCGCCUCCGCCAUGAGCCCGUCGUCACCGUCGCCAUCGCUGACGAGCCCGUCAUCGCCCCGAGCUCAUCGCCGUCGCCGUCGCUCCUGAGCACGUCGUCGUUGCCGUCGCCGUCGCCGUCGCCCCCUAGCCCAUCGUCGUCGCCGUCGCUGUCGCCCCCGAGCCCAUCGCCGUCGCCGUCCCCUUCGCCCCCGAGCCCGUCGCCGUCGUUGUCGUUGCCCGUCGCUACCCGUCGUCGUUGUUGUCGUCAUUGCCGUAGCCCCGAGCCCAUCGCCGUCGUCGUAGUCGUCUGUCGCCCAUCGUUGUUCCAAAGCCCGCCGUCGUCGCUCAUCGACGCACCGGUAGCACGUUCAUCAAUCUCCAUCUCCCUAUUUGCGAAUCCAUGUGUGUGAGAAGACGUAGUCUAAUUCCUAAUCCAUGUGUGUGUAUUUCAGUUGUAUUAGAAUAUGUUGGGUACAUUUUUGAACUCCCCAAUGUGACACAAGUUAUAAAAAUUAUGAAAAUAUAUAGAUUAGAUUCAGUCACAAUAGCAAAGAAAGUUAUAAAAAUUAUAAAAAUAUUUAGAUUAGAUUAAGUUAAAAAUUAAGUUUUUAUGUUAAUAUUUGGGAUUAUGUAUAACGGGCUUCCCCCACUUUGUAAUAUUUCCAGAAACAAUGGAUAUUCCAAGAGACAUGGAAAAAGAACAAAUUUUGGGGGAGAUAAUCCAGGCCGACGGUAGUAAUGUUGAAUUUUUGCUCAGCGACAUUGGUGACUACCGAAUCCCGGAGGAAGGACAUUAUCAUGAUGCCUUCGGUGAUUGAACAGUGGAGGAGGAAGGACAUUAUCACGAUGGCUUCGGUGACUACCGAAUCCCGGAGGAAGGAGACCAUGAUGACGGCUCCGGUGACCGAACGAAGGAGGGACCUAUUGAAAAGUACGGAUCGAGCCAAACUUUAGUAACGAGACAAGGCCCGACGAGAAGGUUGGCCAAGGAUAAAAUAUCAUGAUCACAGAACUGUCGAACGAUGGCCUACCUAUUGAACCCAAGUGGACCAGGGACGCAUUUUCUGCUCAGUGCGGAGCUAUUGUCAGGGACAACAUCCCGAUCAGCAUCAAGCAAUGGAAUAAACCUAAGGGCGACAACGUCCCUGAAGGUGAUUAUGUCACCGAUAGGCUGAAAGAUGAUCUUUGGACCGCGUUCAAGGAAAAUUUCAUCCUACAGCCAAAGGAGGAUCUGAAUAAGCCAGUUAUUGAGCCACUGGUCAAGGCGUGUUCUCUUAAGAAGAUGGCAGAACUAUUCGGAGGUGGAAGAAAGAGUUGAAAUUAAAGUAUGUCGACAAAGGGAGGACUCCAGAAUUCCUCGGCCGAUUUCAUCAAAAUAAGCAACCAACACAACAAAAACAGAAUCUGUUAACAGGAGACCAGUCUGUAGAAAACUGUAUGUUUCGUAUACCUCUGGUACUUCAAAAAUUCUGAACAACUACGACAGUCUGAAUAAUUUAUGUAGCAAUCAGCAGGAAAAAGAAUCAACUCAAAAGCUCUUACAAAAAAAAUGAAAAUUCAUUUCGUGAGGAGAAAGUUUAUGUCUUUCCCAGCAUGACCAAACGAUCAUCCUCAAGACUAAUCAUAACGGUUUUUCUUGGAACAAACGCAAAAAGAAACACAAAAAACACAAUCAUAACAGAAUUAUUAAAGUGUGAAAAACACAAAACAGAAAGAAAAAGGAUAGAUUCGUUGGGUUGCCUCCCAACAAUCGCUUUUGUUUAACGCCCUUAGCUAGGCGAAAGUGAUGGAAUCACGUAUAGUCAUCUUUGGUUCUCAAACCAUAGGUAGCUCUCAUCACAGAUUCAUAAGGCAAUCUUAUUUUCUUUCUAGGAAAGUGCUCCGUGCCCUUCUUUAAGGGAAAUUGAAAUCUAAUAUUCCCUUCCUUCAUAUCGAUGAUAGCACCAAUAGUCCUGAGGAAAAGUCUACCAAGAAUAAUGGGACUAGAAGGAUUGCGAUCUAUGUCAAGUACAAUGAAAUCCAUGGGUACAUAGUUCUUAUUUGCAACAAUAAGAACAUCAUUGAUCCUUCCCAUGGGUUUCUUGACAGUAGAAUCCGCAAGAUGCAAAUUAAGAGAAAGCUCUUCAAUCUCAUGAAAACCAAGAGUAUCACAUAAAGACUUUCGAAUCUCGGAAACACUAGCACCCAAAUCACACAAAGCAUUGCACUCAUAGUUUUUGAUCUUGAAUUUGAUAGUAGGUUCCCACUCAUCAUGAAGUUUUCUAGGUAUAGAGACUUCUAGUUCGAGCUUCUCUUCAAGAGAUAUCAUCAUAGCAUCUACGAUAUGCGCGGUAAAGGCUUUACUUUGGCUAUAAGCAUGUGGAGAGUUUGCAAUGGAUUGCAUCAAAGAAAUGCAUUCAAACAAGGAGCAAUUAUUAUAAUUGAAUUCCUUGAAAUCCAAAGUGGGAGUUUCAUUACUACCCAAAAUUUUGACUUCUUCUACUCCACUCUCCACACCAUUAUCAUCAAAAUAGGUGGACUCCGAAUCAUUGGGGCGUUUUUCAACCAAAGUGGAUACAUAUCGAGACCCUCCGUAAGUAGGUUUGACACACUAAAACAAAGAUUCAAGAGGAGACACGCCAAGCACUUUAAGAUCUUCGUGAUUUGCAUCACUAGAACGCACCCUUUUAAACCAUUCAUGUCUAGCGCAAAUUUGGGCGGUUCUUUUUUUCUCUCAUUCAUGGAGAUACGCAUAGCUUUGAAAGUUUCAUCCAAGUUGAUCUUGGGAGGAGCGCAUCUAACUUUCAAAGCAUCAAUAUCACAAGACAUUCUAUCAACGCUCUUAGCCAAAUCGUCUAUUUUGAGUAGUUUUUCCUCUAUGGACGCAUUGAAUAUCUUUUGAGAGUUGAUGAACUCCUUGAUAUUACUCUCUAGAUGAGAGGGUAAUUUGUUAUGAUUUCCAUAAGUGUUGCCGUAGGAAUUGCCAUAAUUGUUAGAGGAGUUACUAGGAAAAGGCCUAGGAACAUAGUUUCCUCUAAAAGCAUUGUUGUUGCCAAAAUUGUUCCUACCAACGAAAUUCACGUCAAAACUAGCGUUGCCACUCUCAAUCAAAGAAGAUAGUGGCAUGUCAUUAGGAUCUACGGUAGCGUUUCUACUAGCAACCAAAUUCAUCAACUCGUCCAUCUUAGCACUAAGCGAGUUAAUCUCUUCUAUAGCGUGCACCUUUUUGCCAGCAGGCGACCUUUCAGUGUGCCACUGAGAGUAGUUGGCCAUGAUAUUGUCUAAGAGUUUUGUAGCGUCUCCUAACGUGAUUUCCAUGAACGUUCCACCUGAGGCGGAGUCCAAGAUAUUGCGAAAAGCGAAAUUCAGGCCAGCAUAAAAUAUUUCUAUAAUCAUCCACAAACUCAAGCCAUGAGCAGGACAAUUUCUAAUCAUAAGCUUCAUCCUCUCCCAAGAUUGUGCAACGUGUUCAUGAUCAAGCUGCUUGAAAUUCAUGAUAUCGUUACGUAAGGAGAUGAUCUUAGCCGGCGGAAAAUACUUGGAUAUGUAAGCAUCUUUGCACCUAUCCCAAGAAUCGAUACUAUUUUUAGGCAAAGAAGAAAACCAAGUUUUUGCGUGAUCUCGCAAUGAGAAAGGAAUAAGUUUCAACUUAAUCCGGUCAUUAUCCACAUCUCUUUUGUUUUGCAUAUCACAGAGCACAAUGAAGGUAUUGAGAUGGGAUGUGGCAACUUCACUAGGAAGGCCAGUGAAUUGCUCUUUCAUAACAAGACUCGGCAAAGCUGCGUUGAUUUCAUACGAUUCCGCACUAGUGGCGGGAGCAAUCGUAGUACUAAUAAAAGGAUUAUUAUUAGUGCUCGAGAAGUCGCAAAGUUCGGUGUUUUCAGACAUGAUGUCUUCAACAGACAAACAAGCACACAAACAAGCAAGAAACCGACAAAGGAAAACAACAAGGGUGAAAGAAAACGGCAAAGGAGAAAGGCGAAUGAAAACAGCAAAUGUGAAGUGGGGGGGAGGAAAACGAGAGGUAACUGGCCACAAAAGUAAAUGCAAGAGAAGAGUUUGUGAGACCUACUUGCAUAGAUCUUGAUUUCUCCCCCCCGGCAACGGCGUCAGAAAUACUUCUGAUUGUUCUACUGUGUAUCCCUUGCAGCGGCGCCAGGAAGUAGUUGUGUCGACGGCACCAGGAAUCCUUCAGCUAUGGCUACGCCUUAAGGGACUCCCAAGGCAAGUAUGCAAAGGAUUCCCCCCAUGGCUUUGGAGCCUUGCGUUGGUGUUCCCUCGAAGCGGAAAGGGUGAUGUAGCACAGCGACGGUAAGUAUUUCCCCUAGUUUGAGAACCAAGGUAUCAAUCCGGUGGAAGAGUAUCUCAAGAUCCUGCACAAACACAAAAGCUUGCACCCACCGCUAUGAAGGGGUUGUCAAUCCCUUAUAGAUCGUUUGCCAAGUGAGAACUGAAAGCAACAAAGUAACAAAGCAAAGUAAAAGUGGAGUUGUAAAUAAUGGAUGUGAAUAGACCGAGGGGCCGUAGUGUUUACUAGUGGCUUCUCUCAUAAAAGCAAGUAGACGGUGGUCGAACAAAUUACUGUCGAGCAAUUGACAGAACUGUGUAGACUCGUGACGAUAUCUAUGCAGUGAUUAUUUCUGCAUCUACUACUAUUACUUUCGAAACAAGUAGACCGAUACAAGUAGACCGAUACUUUCUGCAUCUACUACUAUUACUCCACACGUCGACCGCUAUCUAGCAUGCAUCUAGUGUAUUUAGUCCAUAAGAACAGUGUAACGCCUUAAGCAAGAUGACAUGAUGUAGAGGGAUAAUCUCAAACCAAUGAUAAAAACCCCAUCUUUUUACCCUUGAUGGCAAACGCUUGAUGUGUGCCUUGCUGCCCCUACUGUCACUGGGAAAGGUCACCACAUGGCAGAACCCAAAACCAAGAACUUCUCUCAUUGCAAGAAUCAUAGAUCUAGUUGGCCAAACAAAACCCAAGACUCGGAGAGAUUUACAAGGCUAUCAAAUCAUGCAUAUAAGAAAUCAGCAAAGACUCAAAUAUAUAUUAUAGAUAAUCUGAUCACAAGUCCACAAUUCAUCAGAUCUCGAAAAACACACCGCCAAACAAGAUUACAUCAGAUAGAUCUCCAUGAAGAUCAUGGAGAACUUUGUAUUGAAGAUCCAAGAGAGAGAAGAAGCCAUCUAGCUACUAACUACGGACCCAUAGGUCUGAAGUGAACUACUCACGAGUCAUUGGAGGGGCGAUUAUGAUGAUGAAGAAGCCCUCCACCUCCAAAGUCCCCUCCAGCAGGGCGUCGGGAAGGGUCUCCAGAUGAGAUCUCGCGGAAACCGAAGCUUGCGGCGGUGGAAAAGUAUUUUAGAGGCUCCCCUGAUUUUUUGCGGAAUAUAUAGGCGCAAAACCUAGGUCUGGGGCGGCCAGGGUGGCCACAAGCUUGCCCACCGCCGCCUCCCCCCUGGUGGCGUGGUGGGAGCUUGUGGGCUCCCUGGGCCCACCUGGCUUGGCCCAAAGGCUCCCUGGUCUUCUUUCGUUCGGGAAAAACUCAUUUCGGGGUUUUUAUUCCAUUUGGACUCCGUUCCAAAAUCAGAUCUGAAAAUAGUCAAAAACACGGAAAAAAACAGGAACUCGCACUUGGCACUGAAUUAAUAAGUUAGACCCAAAAAAGAUAGAAAAAGGUACAUAAAACAUACAAAGAAGACAAGAGAACAACGUGAAAUUAGCAAAAAAUUAUAGAUAUGUUUGAGACGUAUCAAGGAGCAACUUGCAACACCCAUCAACAAGCUUCAGCAGUGUAUCACCGCAGCGCAGGAAGGGAUGUUCUUUCCCGAAAGAGAGAAGGACGAGCUAACUGAGGCCCUAGGUAAUGCUGAGCACCGUGGACGAACACGAGGCACACCAGGCUCCGUUCCGUGGAAGGUUGGGUUUUCCGACGCAGGCUGUUACAGAAGCCGAACAAGAAAGAGGAAAGUGGAGCUGAGCGACAUGCAGAAGAUCAAUGCAAGAGUACAAAUUCUAGAGGAACUAGAGAGCCAGCGAGGUGCCGACCAACCAUCUCAGCGGCACGAAACUAUCCCAGAAUUUACCCCGCCAUCUCAGCGAAGAAGCAGCGUGGCUUCCACUGAGCUCGUUCAGCCUGACUUCACCGCUCCUAGCUACCCUGUGGAUACUAUCACGGAGUCUCAACCUUGCGAGAUUUUGACGAAAUGCCGGAACCUCACUUUCAUGGCAGCUAUCGGCGUUGUUGCACAUCCUCAAUCCAGCGGAACUUUUCAUUGUUGUCUGAUUCCACGUGGCUAUGCUAUUGUGAUGGUGGAUGAAGUAAAGGAGGAUUUUGAGCAGCUCGAGCUUGACCACCCUACAGGUGAAAAUGAGAAUAAGCUGGUUCAUCCUUUGAGGAGUACAUGUCUAUCACCGAAGGAGUACAUCAAGCUUCCAAGCUGGACACCUCCUCCUCCUCCUCCUCCGGCGAGUGAUCACGGCAUGCCUCAUCCUCCUCCGGUGACUGAUCAGGGCACUCCUCAUCCUCCUCCGGCAAAUGAUCAGGGCACUCCGGCUCCUCCGAUGCAUGAGGGCAUUCCGCCUUCUUCUUCAGAUCCUCCUCCCGCGCGUGAGGCCACUCCGCCUCCUUCUUCGACUCCUCCUCCCGCGCGUCGGAGGAGUCUGCCUCCUUCUUCGGCUCCUCCUCUGUCGCGUCGGAGCAGUCCGCCUCCUUCUUCGACUCCUCCUCUGGCACGUCGGAGCCGUCCGCCUCCUUCUUUGACUCCUCCGGCGCGUUGGAGCACUCCGCCUCCUUCGUCGGCUCCUCCUCCGGCGCGUCGGAGCACUCCGCCUCCUUCUUCGGUUCCUUCUCCAGCGCGUCGGAGUAGUCCUCCUCCUCCGGCUUCUCCUCAGGCGCGUCAUAGCAGUCCUCCUCCUUCGGCUCCUCCUCAGGCGCGUCGGAGCAGUCCUCCUCCUCCGGCUCCUCCUCAGGCGCGUCGGAGCUGUUCGCCUCCUCCACAACGGCGAAAGACAGACAUCGUAGCCGCUCCGCCAAAAUUUACACAAGUAAGAAAGAUGCCGCCUCCUCCUCCUUAUCUUAAAAGGAAGACAGACUCCGUCGCCGCUCUGGCGGCUAGCAGUGAUGCAAUGUUAGCAAAAUGAAAAAGUGGGAAAACAUUUCCCCAGCUCGGUCAACAGACAUUCAUGCCACCCGCUCAAGGUGCCUAGCGAUAUCGUCGUCGCUAAUGAUUCGGUGUUGCUGUCCGGUACCAAUCCUGGUGAUUACGUGAACGAUUCGGUAAUUUUUGAAAUAGAUGAGGUAACAAAUGAAGAAACAUAUGAAUACGUGCUCGGGAAGCCUCUCGUCAAACCUGGUCAUCCUCCUCUAACACCGAGGAUGCACGAAUUGCAUGAGUGGUGUAUGAACAUCUUUAGGGAGACUACAAAAGACACUUUGUAUAUGAGAGUGAAAAAGAUCAUGAUUUCAUUGGAGCUACAAUGUAGCUUGUUCAAUUGGAGGAGUUAUUUCAGUUAUACAAUGAACUGGCCCUCGACAAACAACUCAUGACUUCCUACUGUUUGUAAGUAUUACUUCUAAAGUUAAGUAUCUAGCUCAGCUCCUUCAUUGCAUCUAUCUAUAAUUAUCCUCACUAUAUAUAUUAUACAGAUUGAACAUCGUCGAAUUAAAAAAAGCAGGAAUCUUUGAUGUUGGGUUCAUUAGCCCAGAAUCGGUAAAUGUAUUGUCGGUACGAAAUGAAACCAAAGAGACCGAGGUUAAGUUGCUCAAGUCGUUGCUUGCAAAACCAAUACAAAGGGGAAAUACUAUUUCCUUACAACUUCAAGUGAAUGAUGCUGUCUUUUCUGUAUACUUGGUUUCGCUUACUCGAGGUUAAGUAAAUGUAAUUGAUGAGUUAUAUAUGUGUGCGCAGCUACCACUUUAUUCUGCUAUCCAUUAAGCUUGACGUGGCAAAAGUAACUUUCUUAGACUCAAGACGUGAAGAUCCCCAGGAUUAUGCGGACAUGACUGCAAUGGUCAAGAAUUAAUUUCACUCAAUACCGGGACCAUACCGGCAUGCAACUUUCAUUAAUUUCCUGAUAUCAAGUAAUCAUUUUCUUUGCCUGGCAGGGUUUGGAAGAAGUUCACGAAUAAGGUUCACGGUACACCCAAAGAGUUGCAAUUUACGCACCCCCCAGUAAGUAGUACUAGCUAGUUCCGCGCAUCUCUAAUUGAUUCAAAUUUUCAUCAGUAUAUCAUUACCAUGCUUGCCUAUCAGUUUGAUUGAACUCUAUAUAUUCUCGUAAAGUGCUUGUACCAGGUAGUUGUGACUGAAAAAUGUGCAUACCACGUAUACGAGUUCAUUUGCCUCUCGACCUCUGAGCGGGGCAUCUCUCACGAACAAUUUGAAGUACGUAAAUAAUAUUCACAAUUUUAUUUUAUAUAUUACCAUCAAUUGUGUUGAGUUUUAUUCAUAUAUAUGCAUGUAUAGACCCCCUUCUUCAAAUUAGAUCUGGAAGAAGCGGGACGAACCUCUAUCAGAUGAUGACAUAUGAGCAAUUGAAGUGGAAUUGGCGAGAUUCUUUCUUGACCACGUCAUACCUAAAGAUGGAGAAUGCCAUGUGAGCUAUUUGUGAAUGGAUAUUAGGUAAAUAAUGUUAGGCAUUGUAAAAGAUGUUAAGUAUUGUAAAUGGUUUCAUUCAUUUAUUAACUGGCGUCGUGUUCUAUCUAUAUGUAUAGUAGCUAGCAUCGACCAAGAACGGAGAAAGAGAGGAGACUUCUCUCUAUUAGCUAGCUAACACAAUAUGAAACCAAUAAAUUAACCCUCCACCCCCCCUCCCCCCGCGUUCAAAAAAAACAAAAACCCCAGCUCCGGCCAGAUGCUGACGUGUGGAUGCCAUGUUGUCCCGGUUGGUCUGACCAACCGGGACUAAAGGCCCUCCUGCCCGGGCUCCCCGCAGCGGCCACGUGGAGACCAUUCGGUCCCGUUUCAUAAGAGAACCAGCACUAAAUGUUUUCAGCUUUAGUACUGACCAUUUAGUCCCGGUUCAAGAACCGGGGCUAAUGGGCUUCUGGAACCAGGGCAAAUGGGCCAUUUUCUACUAGUGUGUCACUCACACAAUAUCCCUUCAUAUCGCAAACACACAUAUUCCCAUUAUUGAAAUGCACAACUUUUUACUCACCUAUAUAUAUCCCGAGAGAGAUUGUGCACGGCUAAAUAAUGGAAUGGUAACAAUGGUGGAGAACUUAGAGAGAAGAAAUGAAAAAGGAGGGAAUAGGGCAAAGGGGGAGGAAGUGGGAUAGGGGUGUGUGUGUGGGUGAAAUGAGGGCAACAAUUGUCGAGGAAAGGAGAAAGGAGGGGAUAGGGGAAAGGGGGAGGGGAGAGGGCGUGUGUGUGGGCGAAAGGGAAACAAUGGUGGAGGAAAGGAGAAAGGAGGGGAUAGGGCAAAUGGGGGAGGAAGGGGGAGAGGGUGUGUGUGGGUGAUUGGUAGAAGAAAGAGAGAAGAAGGGCAAGAAUGGUGGAGAAGUAACAAUGAAGGAGUAAAUGAAAAAGGAGGGAAAAGGGGGAGGAAAGGGGAGAGGGGGGUGUGUGCGUAAAUGAAGCUGCCCACGUGUAGCAGGAGCGUUGGUUCCAGGGGAGCGCUACAGCUAUUGCACUUAGUAGUAGCACUUUUUACAGGCCAUCGCUACUACUACAAAUACUGUCGGUGGCCUCGUUGGGCCCCAUUUAGCAGUAGCGCUGGUUCCAAGGAAGUGCUACUGCAAUGGAACUUAGUAGUAGCGCAUUUUACAGUACAACGCUACUACUACAGAUACUGUGGGUGACCUCGUUGGGCCCCGUUUAGCAGUAGCGCUCGAACUGCAACCAGCGCUACUACUACGGUAGUUAGCAGUAGCGCGUCCUAUUUCCAUCGCUCCUACUAAGUAGCAUGAGCGUGUGCUAUUUUCCAAUGCUACUACUAGGAUCCUACUUAUAAGGUUUUUCCUACUAAUGGCCAUUUCACUUACUGUCAAAGAACAAGAGUCCAAAGCGGAAUAAACCUAGGAAGAAACGCACCCCUCCUCCCCUGCGAAAGUUGGCUUACGAGAAGACCAGAGAGGAAUUAGACGAGACACUGGCUGCUGAGUUGCGGGCCCAUAAAGACAAGAGAAAGUCUGUACAAAAGGAUAUAACACCUCUGGAAGAUGUCAAGCGCGUUCUGGCCAAUCUUGCGGACCCACCACCUCCAAAGAGAGUUAAAUCAGAAUAUGACCGCUCUAUUGCCAAAUCAUAUCAAAAAGGGCAAAUGAAUAUGGCACUCCUUAAUAGAAGAAGUAGGAAAAUCAUUCCCCAGCUGGGAGAACAUCUAGUGCAAUCGAUCAUGCCGCUCAAGGUGGGUACCAAUGAGUUCAUAGUCGAUCCCGAUGUUGCUCACAAGAUGGCUAUGAAGGCCGGUGUAACUAUUGCACAACUCCUAGGCAACAAGAGCAUUCCCGCCACGAUGGAAGGGAAUAAACAACUAGUAUGGACAUUUCAACCCAAGAAACUUCUCGUCAGUCCUGAGCUUGUCAAGCAGCUACCAACGAAAAUGUACAAAUUGCAUACCUGGUACAUGAAGCAAGCAGUACUCGGGCAUGAGGCCCUUAUGGUGAAAGUCAACCAAUUGCAUAUCUUCAAUUGCAAAGAUUUGUUGACUGAGAUGCUAGAAUUUUGGCAGUUACACAAUCAAGACGCACUCGACAAAUCUCUUGUCAGUUUCUAUUGUUUGUAAGUGAUUUCUUUCUGUAAUUCAAGUCUCUAGAUCAUCGGCUGUUCAUUUGCCUCUAAUUAUCCUCACUAUAUUCUUUCGUGUGUGUGGUGUUAUGCAGAAUGAAGAUGCUUGAAGUGAAAAGAGAUGGACUAUAUGGCAUUGGCUUCAUUGACCCAUAUACCAUUUUUGAAAAGGCGGUAGUAGAAUACCCAGAAGAGACAGAGGAGAACUUGUGUUGAUUUUUUGAGAUACUAAGUAACAAUGAAAAAAAUAUUAUUUUUUACAACUUCAAGUGAGUGUUACUGUUGUCUUGUACUAUAAAUUCUAUUUUGCUUACCCAAUUUAAGUUUACAUAUAGUUCUUGAUGCGGUGCAUGCAUGCCCGGUACGAAUGAUUGUCUUCCAGCCUGGUUUCGAUACAACUUUCUCUCUUGCAGAUGCGAAUUUCGCCUCUUAGUGUCAUUCAUUCAAAAGGUUCUCACAAUUGUAUAAGCACGUGGCAUAGUAGCAACUACAAAAAAAGGCCACCAGAAGGGGCACCAGAUAAUUAUAAUUCUUGUUCUAGUGUAUGCAUGAUACAGACUCUCCAUGGCAUAUACAUCAGAACAAUCUCAUAUAAAUCAAGGAAAAGAAAAUAAGCUGACAAAAGGAAUUGAAAAAACAGAUCGGAUACGGAGUAUCAUUGACGAUGGAAGAAAUGCCAAAGAAAACUACACUUGUUUAUUGGAGAAAUAAAAGAAAAAGGCUGGAUUGUACUUGUCCGUGAUUUACNNN
rnacentral:lncRNA from 1 species